rnacentral:lncRNA from 1 species
UUGUUUUUAGUGCUGAUGGUCUGAUUCUGCAUGAUGUAGGCUUAUCCACACAAGAUUCUGACAGGAAGAAGAGACAGGAUGCCGAGUUUAAGACAGACCGGUGGCCUCUCUGGUUUCACGAAGCGGUCUGAGAGCGACUAUGACUGCUUUGGUGCCGGUCACAGUUCCACAACUAUCUCUGCAGGACUAGGUAUGAUCCUAAAUUGUUACAGAGUUGAGUUGAAUCGCAGAGUCCUUUGAAAUUGAGCUGUUUAUAUGAGAUAAGCAGAAAAAAUGAUGUAAAUCUCAUGUUGGUCUGAAAUAAAUAACUGAUUUAGGAUUGGAGUUUACUUGGCUUACCAGGAAUGGCUGUGGGGAGGGAUCUGAAAGGAAGAAAGAACAAUGUCGUGGCUGUGAUAGGCGACGGGGCUAUGACAGCUGGUCAGGCCUAUGAGGCAAUGAACAAUGCUGGCUACUUGGACUCGGACAUGAUUGUUAUU